AAAUUGAAGAGUUUGAUCAUGGCUCAGAUUGAACGCUGGCGGCAGGCCUAACACAUGCAAGUCGAACGGUAGCACAGAGAGCUUGCUCUCGGGUGACGAGUGGCGGACGGGUGAGUAAUGUCUGGGAAACUGCCCGAUGGAGGGGGAUAACUACUGGAAACGGUAGCUAAUACCGCAUAACGUCGCAAGACCAAAGUGGGGGACCUUCGGGCCUCACACCAUCGGAUGUGCCCAGAUGGGAUUAGCUAGUAGGUGGGGUAACGGCUCACCUAGGCGACGAUCCCUAGCUGGUCUGAGAGGAUGACCAGCCACACUGGAACUGAGACACGGUCCAGACUCCUACGGGAGGCAGCAGUGGGGAAUAUUGCACAAUGGGCGCAAGCCUGAUGCAGCCAUGCCGCGUGUAUGAAGAAGGCCUUCGGGUUGUAAAGUACUUUCAGCGAGGAGGAAGGCGUUGUGGUUAAUAACCACAGCGAUUGACGUUACUCGCAGAAGAAGCACCGGCUAACUCCGUGCCAGCAGCCGCGGUAAUACGGAGGGUGCAAGCGUUAAUCGGAAUUACUGGGCGUAAAGCGCACGCAGGCGGUUUGUUAAGUCAGAUGUGAAAUCCCCGGGCUCAACCUGGGAACUGCAUUUGAAACUGGCAAGCUUGAGUCUCGUAGAGGGGGGUAGAAUUCCAGGUGUAGCGGUGAAAUGCGUAGAGAUCUGGAGGAAUACCGGUGGCGAAGGCGGCCCCCUGGACAAAGACUGACGCUCAGGUGCGAAAGCGUGGGGAGCAAACAGGAUUAGAUACCCUGGUAGUCCACGCCGUAAACGAUGUCUACUUGGAGGUUGUGCCCUUGAGGCGUGGCUUCCGGAGCUAACGCGUUAAGUAGACCGCCUGGGGAGUACGGCCGCAAGGUUAAAACUCAAAUGAAUUGACGGGGGCCCGCACAAGCGGUGGAGCAUGUGGUUUAAUUCGAUGCAACGCGAAGAACCUUACCUGGUCUUGACAUCCACGGAAGUUUUCAGAGAUGAGAAUGUGCCUUCGGGAACCGUGAGACAGGUGCUGCAUGGCUGUCGUCAGCUC
rnacentral:rRNA from 1 species